rnacentral:rRNA from 1 species
GAUGAACGCUAGCGGCAGGCUUAAUACAUGCAAGUCGAGGGGCAGCAUGAUUGUAGCAAUACAAUUGAUGGCGACCGGCAAACGGGUGCGGAACACGUACACAACCUCCCAAUAAGUGGGGAAUAGCCCAGAGAAAUUUGGAUUAAUACUCCGUAACAUAACGAUGUGGCAUCACAUUGUUAUUAUAGAUUUUUCGCUUAUUGAUGGGUGUGCGGCUGAUUAGAUAGUUGGCGGGGUAACGGCCCACCAAGUCUACGAUCAGUAGCUGAUGUGAGAGCAUGAUCAGCCACACGGGCACGGAGACACGGGCCCGACUCCUACGGGAGGCAGCAGUAAGGAAUAUUGGACAAUGGACGCAAGUCUGAUCCAGCCAUGCCGCGUGAAGGAUCAAGGUCCUCUGGAUUGUAAACUUCUUUUAUAAGGGACGAAAAAAGGCUUUUCUAAGUCGUCUGACGGUACCUUAUGAAUAAGCACCGGCUAACUCCGUGCCAGCAGCCGCGGUAAUAC